rnacentral:ribozyme from 13 species
CGGAAAAAAAAAAAAAAAAAAAAAAAAAAAAAAAAAAAAA